AGCAGGGACGUGGCAUCUCUCCGGCUGCAUGCGGCCCGCCAAGGUGCCCGCUGCCGUCCCCAGCGCCCACGACGAACCACCUACUGAGGCAGCCCCAGCGGCCUCUGACCGGGCUUCCAGCCACACAGGCCGCCACUGGCCACAGGGCAGAUCCACUUUGGAAUGACACGGUUCCCACCCCGCCACCUCUCCCCGCAAAACACUGACCCGCUGACCAGGCAGCCAGAGCUGAGCCGAUGGCCCCGCCUCAGCCGGUCCUGUUUGUGAAAUAAAUAUGAGCGUUGCCA